GUUCUUGUGUGGUCAGCUGCUCCGGGCGGAAGCAGCAGGGAAAGGGCCUGGCAGAGGACAGCGGCUCAGGGUAUGGGGCACAGGAAGCCGAGCGGGAAGGGAGGAGCCAGGAAGGAAGAGGGAACCCCCACAGGCCACGCCCCAGGCCCACCCCUUCCGCCAGGCUCCGCCUCCUAACCACCGUCCCCUGUGAACCCCAGUCAUCCAAUCAGCUUCCAGACACAGGAGGCUUUGGGCAAUUGUCGAUGUGACCUAUAACCUGUAACCCUAGCACCUGAGAGGCCGAGGCAGAAGGAUCACCACAAGUUCAAGGCCAGCCUGGGCUACAAAGCAAGACCCUGUCUCAAACCCACAAAAGGCGGGAGGGGGCACUUGCAUCCCAUUAAAUCCCAGGAAUCUUUCUCUGAUGUGUGAGAGAGGCUGAUGCUAAGCCCGGAGUACGCGCCCAGAAACAGGAAAACCUCAAAACCAACUUUAGAGAAACUGGGGGGGGCGGCAUGCAUAAAAUGAACUUGUUGGGAAUGCUUUUGACCGCAAAUAGUGAAGACCAGCCAAACACGAGCUGAUUUUCCUUCCCUAGCAAGAAGUCUGGAGGUGAAUGGCCGUGUGGGAUCCUCUGUUUAGGAGCGGUCUGGUGGGAGAAGAGGGUCCAGGACCCUAAAUGUCCCCACUGGCGCGCCGACUUUGCCCAGGCUUUCUCUGUCGCCAUGGCCACCGUUCCCAUGCCCACUGCAAUCGCUGUGUCCUCGUCCACCUGAAGCCAGCCUGGGUUAACAGGACCAGCGCUGCCGUCUAGGGAACCCAGCAGUCGGGCGCAGUUUCAGCACCUUACCAUGCCCCACGCUCCCGUGUCUCUGGGGCUCGUUUCGGUACCCGAGCAUUGCCUUCUCCCACUCUGUCCUCUGCCCUGCCUCUUGCUCCACUGCCCUUGAUAAUCUCUCACCCAGAUGUUUUCUUCAUUUCUUUGCUCGUAAAUAAAGAAUUCUUCCUUUCAAU
rnacentral:lncRNA from 1 species